UUAGCCAUUAGCCAUGCGGUCAUCCAGGGGAAUCUGAAACUGGGAGAGGAGCUUCACCAUCUGAAACUGGCUCUCUUCUCAUAACCGCAUGCUCAAAGAGUGACCUGCCUCCAGAGGAAACUCCAGCCACCUCUGGAUGAUGCGUUGAACCAAUCAGUCUCACUGCAAUACAAGAACCUGAAGGGAAUGCAGCACAACUCAAUAUCCUGCCCAUGCCUUCCUCCCCCCACCCCCCGGCGACUUUUUCUGAUAGCCAUGAUCAAAAGAAACAGAAGAGAAGUUAACAUUUGAAGCAAGCCUCCUGCAAAGUCGGAUUGCAAUUCCAGUAGCAAUGGUGCAGGAGGGAGUUUAAAAUAAAUAGCACCUCAGAGCA